rnacentral:lncRNA from 1 species
UGCAGAUCGCCAUCCACCAGGACUCGCGCACAUCGCCAUCCACCAGGACUCGCGCGCAUCGCCAUCCACCAGGACGCGCGCGCCCGAACGCGCGCGCACAUCGCCAUCCACCAGGACGCGCGCGCACAUCUUUCUUCGUCCACCAAAAUCACCAUCGCCUGCAGAUCGACCUUGCCGCCGCCGGCUUCGUCCUCAUCAACGCUUCUCCACCAUGUCUAUGGCAUUGCUUGAUCGUAAGUAAUCGGCAUGGCCCAGGGAGUCUGUUAGUUUUGUUCUUCUGUUGCAGGGAUAUGCCUACGAUGGCACAGGGCCAUGAGCGCUCGAUGCAUGUUGGCUUCUGGUGAAAGAAAUGCCAGGAAGUUCAUGUGCCGUGCAGGCUUAUUGAUGAUAAGAAAAAUAGAAGUGCCAAUGGCCCUCAUACACAUUGUACAGGUUUCAAGAGAAGGCCGUUCCAAGGCAGCCCGGACAUGCCUCUUAUUUUAUAGGUGUACGAAGGAUCGAGAGAUCACAUCUCUCUACGGCGGUGUUUACAUAAAAGAAAUAAAUAGAUCAACAGAUUAGCACGCCAUUAAGAUGGCAGUGCCAGACACUUUGCAGGUACAGGGGCUUCACACGGAUAAUAAAGGGCCUGUUCGCUUCAGCUUAUUCAGCCGGCUUAUCAGCCACCAAACAGUGUUUUCCUCUCACAACAAAUCAGCCGUUUCAGCUUUUCAACCGGCUUAUAAGCUAAAGCGAACAGGUCCAAAAUCAACCGUCGUGCUUGCAGAUCAAUAAAGAAAGGAGAAAGGAAAUAAAGUAUACAGAUGAAUUUCAUGUUAUGUUCUGUGAUGGUCGUGUUCAGUUAAAAGUUCUCAGAUCUAUUAAUUUAUUAUCACCAGCUUUCCGUGACUGACGAGCUCUUGCUGAUCAUGAGGCGUAAUGAAAUAUAGCAUUAAGUCGCUCGGCUUCAUUUCUUUUCGUUGUUUCUUUUAUGCAGCAUUCAUCUAUGGAGUACAGGAUGAGACGCUUGAUGCUUGAUGAUGACGACCAUUUGGCGCAGCAUAAUCGGAGGUAUUCUGCAGGUUCAAACCUACGGAUGUAAUUAACUAGAGUUCUUGCGAGGCUCUAGGAUUUACGAACUAUGCAGUCGUCUGU